CCUACGGGUGGCAGCAGUGAGGAAUAUUGGUCAAUGGCCGGAAGGCUGAACCAGCCAUGCCGCGUGAAGGUCAGUGCCCUAUGGGCGUUAAACUUCUUUUGUGCGGGAGCAAUAAUGGUCACGUGUGGCCAGACGAGAGUACCGUACGAAUAAGCAUCGGCUAACUCCGUGCCAGCAGCCGCGGUAAUACGGGGGAUGCAAGCGUUAUCCGGAUUUUUUGGGUUUAAAGGGGGCGUAGGCGGGCGUUCAAGUCAGCUGUAAAAUCGCGCGGCUAAACCGCGCCCCGCAGUUGAAACUGGAGGCCUUGAGUGCACAAGAGGCAGGCGGAAUUCGUGGUGUAGCGGUGAAAUGCAUAGAUAUCACGAGGAACCCCGAUUGCGAAGGCAGCCUGCCGGGGUGCGACUGACGCUGAGGCUCGAAGGUGCGGGUAUCAAACAGGAUUAGAUACCCGGGUAGUC
rnacentral:rRNA from 1 species